AGGGUUACAAGAAGCUCCUCGUACCAAAGGAGCGCUGUGCAUAGUGAGCAGCUUCGCUGCACUGCAAGAGACAGCAGGAGGAUGGACUAAAGCACCAGGGAAGUGACCGUUCUGGCUGUGCCAGUGAGCACUUAGAACUAGCUGUUCAGCUGAAGGAGUAACUGCAGUUCCUAGCACAUCGUUGCAACAGGAUGUUGCUGUCUACCUAGCGACGCUUCAGACUAGCAGUAUUGAGUCAAUGCAUUUGAAGCAGAUGGGACAGUAAAUCAUGAAAAAUAAGGUUUAGAGAAGAAAAGGGAAAAAAAGCUGAUCCAACCACAUGUGAGCCAGAAGCCACAUCCCAGGUGGGACACCUUCCUCUACGCUUUUCCUCAUUUUUCACCAUCUAGCUGAUAAAAUGUUUAUAGAUGAAAUGAAGCAGUGUGUUCUCAAUGACAUUUCGUGGACUCUUUCUACCAUUGGGCAUUCGAUUUCCUUGGAAAUCUGGGAAACGGCUGGGAGCUAUGCUAGCGGGAAGCGCAGUGGUGCAGCGAGGUGCAGAGUGGGCCCGGGGCCAUGGAGGGCAACGCGUGCCGCUGCCCCCGGCCGGCCCGCCCUGCUGCGGGGACCGUCGCUUACGCGCCGGAGGGACACGGCCGUGCUCCUCUGCCCGGCCCCGAGACGUGGAGUUUCGGCUGCUAAGGCGUCCCGUGGCCAGGGUAAGACCGAUGACUGAAUAAACAACAGGGACUGACGUGUGCUUUCAGACGGAACAGCACGACUGGAUCAAAGCACAGCCAAGACUGUUGUGUGUGUCCUGGAGGACCGGUGACCCCUGGUGAAUGCCCUCUUCAUACUGCUAUGUCCAGAUCGUCCGGCAGAGCUUGGGCUGGCCAACAGACACCUGGCGCUCCUGAAGGCACAACUACUUCUGGGCCACGCAACACCGUGAAGUGAGAGAAAAUAGAAAGAUAGCAAGAGCUGGACUGACAGCAUAAAAGGCUGUCGUUGUAGGGAUGACAUUUAUGAACAGACCCUGAACAAGUUGCAUGGUGACAGGUGUGUGCAAACAAGCACGCUGUGCACUGAGAAGGUAAGCAAGGAGCAGGCCAAGCACCAGAAGGUUCCUCUGCCAAAUGGUACCACUCAAAGCACAGAGGGAUAAGUGGCCAGGAGGAGGGCACAGCUGAAAGAAGCACCAUUAUGAUACAGCUUCUGGUGAUAUGCCAGUCCUACAAACUAAAAUCUGCCUAUUUCAGGGCAGAUAUGCCCUGUUUUGCAAAAUUAUAGAAUCACAACUCUCCUCAGGCCCACCCAUCUUUUCUGCUUAUGGCUGAAGGAAGGUAUGAAUGGGCAACUAAGCUCAGAUUCUCAUGCUGUCAUCUUAGGAGAAUUUGUAAGUAAUCUGGACCCAGUCAAAUAUUUGACCUUGGAUGAGACACUCAACCUGCAUGUGGACCUGAGUCUGUCGUAUCUGGAGCUUCCCAAAAUCUGACAGUUUCCUUUUCUAUUAUGAUCCAUUUCUGUGUGUUUAUGCACUACUACCAUGUCAGCCGUGCUCAAGAACUCAAGAAGCAAUACGAGGUGUUGGAGAGAUGAGGAAAAUUACUGGAUUGGUGUUGGAUGCCUAGGCAAUGGCAGUCUGAUUCUCAAAUGCUAGAAACAAGUCGGUGACCUCAUUUUUCCAAUGCAGUGUCUCUCUUCGAAGGAGAGAUCCCAAACUUUGGUAGUUGUAUUCUGGGGAAAACGAAUUUAGGAAAGGUUUUCAUUAUGAUUCAAGACAUUACCUGGACUCAUUAAGAACUUUGUGGGAGAAACAUUUAGAAGAACAUUUAGAAGAAGAUAUAUACACACACACACACACACACACACACACGGACACACAUAUAUAUAGCUAUUUCAGAUAGAUUUUUCUAAACUGAAGCAGAGUGAACUGGCUUCAGCUUUCACCGACUUCCCAGCCCCCAGCUUCUGCAGAUCUCAGUCUGUUUCCCUGACUUCAGAGGACAUUUCUACUGUGAAUGGAGGAUCCAGUUUCCUGAUGAUCUUGAUGAUACCAUUCUUGGAAUUCAAUGUGAGACACCAGAUCCUGAGAGUCCUAGUUCAAGGCCAAGUUCUCAGUCUCAAAUUCCUUGCUGUGGAGCUGGGCUCCAUCUGCCUCCAGCGACCUGCCUAGUGUGAUCGCGCUGCGUGGUAGAAAUCAAAUUUAUUUUGCUGGAGGGCGGCUCGCCUAGUAAAGCACAUUAAAUCACUCUGCUUCCAAGGGAAAGUGAAGCAGCUGAUAUACAUCCCAGCUGGAGAGAUGCUGACUUUUUUAUGCUUCUGGUGCCUUGAGAAGCGUAGAAAUGUGAGAUGUGAAAAGAAAACCUUGGAAUAUCCUGAAGGUGUAAGAAGAACCAACAUUUUGGCCCUCGGGCAUUUCCCUUGCCUGCUUCGGAGUGCCUACAGCCAAUACUGACUUGGUUACAAAUGUGAAAGCACUGUUUGUACGAAUGCCACAGAUGCUCUUCUCAAGAACGAGAAGCAAUUCUAUGGCCAAUUCUCUGGAUGCUGAUUUUUAAAACAGAUCAAACAUGGAAACAGCAGGGAAAAAAAAUCAAAGAUGUCUUUCCAAUUUAAUAUAGGCUCUUAGAUGGGAGUAACCAUCCUGAAUUAGAUUUCAGAAGCAUGGUCCCUUUUCUUUGCAGAAUGAAACAUUAUAGACUUAUGAUACCGGGGGAAAAGCUGGCUCUCCUCGUGCAUGUUCUGUUAUAUAAAGUACUCAGAGAGCUGAUUAAUCUAUGGGAGUUGGUAAUCAUUUGACUCUGGAUAUUUUGUUCAAAUGUUUUUUCAGUGAUUCAUGAAGCCCUUAUCGAAAUUCAAAAAGCACUUCACGAAUCAACUAGGAGCUUAAAAAAAAAAUUAGCAGUAAUGAGCUCAUUUCCAUAGAAAUAGGACUAGGCUCGCCGGUGGGUCAAACUGUUUUCUGCACUUCCACUUUCCAGUAUUUUCCUCAAUUCUUCUGCUUUUAUUUCAUGCAUCAUUAUCUUCUAUUUUCUCCAUAGCUAAACCAUGCCAUUUGGCUUUUUGUUCUCUAACCAACAACUGUUACUUCAAGGUGUUUCAAAAUGGUGGUGAGAAAAUUGUCUUCCAGAUUUCACUCAAAAAAAUUUAAAAUUCAUUGUCAUCUUGAAACCUAUUAUUCGUGACAGUUUCCUCAAUAGAGUACAAAUCAUAGUUUCAGAUAGUAUUGAGCAAAAAUUUAUAAUGCACAAGCCUCUCCAUUCCUGCUGGAUUAGUAAUGUGUUUUAAUGAUACUGCGUUUGUAUUCUUUCAGUUUUCUUUCAUGAGACAUCAAAGACGCAACACAGAAUGUAUCUUUCAUAUUCGAGACAUACCACAAUACUUUAGUGUUUUCCAUUCCUUCAGAUUCACUGCUAACCAAAAUGAAAGCUGAGGUCUUGUGAGUAAAACCUAAGGUAUCUGAAAAGAAAUGGUAUCUCUUUGUGGUACUCAGUUUGCUGGAAAGAGGGAACUGCUUACAGUUUUACACACUACAGCACGAGACUUAUUUUGGCAUAUUCCAGAGAAGUAAUGUUGCACUCACAUAUGACAAGCUGGUAUAGAAGGCCACGUGCUGGUGCUGGACACACUCAGAUUGUUUCACAGGCUAUCAUGCAGGGUUAGGGUGAAGGAACAAGAAAGGACAUUUUAUGGCUUGAAAUCACACACACAGUCUUCCUACUCCUGUUUGAAGGCCAUGCACUUUGUUUCGGAAAAAUAGGAAAGACUGUAAACAUCAGAAGAGGGAACUAGCCUGUGAAUGGAUUGGAUCUGGUUGUCCCUACAACCAGUAGUGUAUCACUAAAAUAACUGAAAAAGUUUAUUUUAGAUUUUUUGCCUGAAAUAUUUACUAAACUAUAUAUAUGAAAUAUACAUACACAUACACAAACACAUAUGUGUAUAUAUUUGUGCCAUAUUUUACAUAUAACAGUAAGCCAAGAUAUAAAUGUUGAUGUUACUGCAAUAUCCAGAUACAUAUAUUUUAAUAGUACUCUAUGUAACAAUGCCUAAUAGUCACAUACAUGGUGAAAAAUAGAUGCUGUUUUUGAUAGCUCUACGACAUCAAACAAUAGAAAAUUGUGUGGUCCUGGAACAUGAAGGAGUUAGAAUAGGAAAUGUAUGUUAUUGGAAACUCUAAUAUAAAGGAAGUAGAAUCUCUUCAGGAAGUAUGCCAUUGGAAAGGUCUUUCUUGUAAGCCUUUUUCCUAAGUUGCAGCAGAUCGUCCCCAUGCAGAUCUGAAGAUGGAAACCAGUUCUGCAUGCAUUAUAGAGUUGUGUAUCUCCUAGGAAGAAUACUGUUGUGUGGUCAAGGGUAGAAAUAAAUUUUGCAAUCUAUGACUUAAUGGCAAUUGUAUCUCAGCUGACACUUGCAUUCUUCUCAGUUCUGGAGCAGGUAGGAAUUGUAUCCCAGAAGAAGUGUUUUCAAAAAGGGAAAGAAAAAUUUGUUCUACAAAUGUACUUUCUGCCAAAGAUGGUGAAA